CCUUUAGAAUCCUUGCCCACGGAUCGCUAGCCAAACAGGAAGUGAGCCAGUGGCGCUCUGCCCUGCCUCCCAUGGUUUGAAGCUCUGCCCUCUUUCCUAUUUCCUGGCUCUUCUGUGUCGAAACGCUUCGCGCCUUCAGCCAGGAAAUUCCUUCAGUGGAAACACAGUCAGCCUGGCCUUUUGGAAGCAGCUGUAAAAUAACCGGUCCUUGUGUUUCGGUUUGUGUUGGUAUAUCUCAGAGCUGGGCGGUCCGGAUGAUAACUUCGGGGCAAUGAGCACUUUCCCACUCCUAGGAGGUGGGAAAGCCCUGAAUUAGCAACAUCAACACCACCAACAAACAGUCCCGAGAAUCUUCUACAGUCUGGAGACACAAAUGAGCAAAUAAUCACCACAGAAACAAGGAGCUUCUGAUGAGAGGCAGGGCGUGAAGGAAAGAAGCUGAUAAGGUAAAGUAAUGAGGCAACGCGUAUGGUGGACACAUUUGUCAAAUGCAGUGCGGGUCGUGCGAACUAAGGGCCUGGAAUUUCUUACUCUAUUGCUGAGCAGCAGCACGGAGCUCAGAGGAAGGAGGGAUUCUGAAGCAUCCGGGCUGGUUGGUCAGACGUGGUAGAGGAGGCGUGGCUUGGAGGGAAGCCUUCAGAGAACACUGGGGUGUAGACAAGCAGAAGGGAGGCAAGGAAGGUGUGACGGCGGAGCAGGAGAGGGCACGGGUGUGGGGCAUCCUUGCGAGUCUGUUGCUGUGCUGAUUACCGGAGAAGGCGAUGGCACCCCACUCCAGUACUCUUGCCUGGAGAAUCCCAUGGAUGGAGGAGCCUGGUGGGCUGCAGUCCACGGGGUCGCGAAGAGUCGGACACGACUGAACGACUUCACUUUCACUUUUCACUUUCAUGCAUUGGAGAAGGAAAUGGCAACCCACUCCAGUGUUCUUGCCUGGAGAAUCCCAGGGACGGGGAGCCUGGUGGGCUGCUGUCUAUGGGGUCACAUAGAGUCGGACACGACUGAAGCGACUUAGCAGCGGCAGCAGCAGUGCUGAUUACAUUGUGGAUUUUCAAAUGCCGAACCAGUCUUGCAGACCCAGAGUCAACCCCGCUUGGUCAUGGUGGAUCAUUUUUUAAAAUACUAUGCUGCAAACAAUUUGCAAAUAUUUUGUUGGAAUUUUUGUAUCUAAGUUCACGAGAGGUAUUUGUUUGCAGUUUUCGUUUGUUUUACUGUCUUUGUCUGAUUUUGUAUUAAAGUAAUACUGGCUUCAGAACACACGAGUUAGGAAGGAUUCCUUCUGCUUCUAUCUUCUGGAAAAGACCGUGGUAUUAAUUCCUUUUAAAUGUUUGAUGAAACUCUCCAGUGAAGCUAUCUGAGACUGAUGAUUUCUUUAAGGGGACUUUUAAAUUAGAAAUUCCAUUUUUUAAUGGUUGUAGAAUGAUUUAGGGGGCUUGCAGGUGGCACUAGAAGUAAGGAACCCGCCCGCCAAUGCAGAAGACAUAAAAGAAGCAAGUUCAAUUCCUGGGUCAGGAAGAUCCCCUGGAGGAGGAAAUAACAACCGACUCCAGUACUCUUGCCUGGAGAACCCCGUGGACAGAGGAGCUUGGUGGGCUACAGUCUAUGGGGUCACACAGUCGGACACGACUGAAGCGACUCAGCACACAAACACAUCGAAUGAUUUAGGUUGUCUGUUUCAUCUUGAUUGAAUUUUGGUAAUUGGAGAUUUUAAAGAAAUUGAUCCAUUUCUCUUCAGCUGUCAACCUUAUGAACAUAAAGCCGCCCCCGGCCCGGCCCUGCCCCCACUGAAGACGGGCUCACAGAGGCCUGUGGUCCCACCCCUCCUGCCGACUGAGGGUCCCUGGAAGAUGGAGUCAGAAUUCACGUGGAGUUGGAAGUGGAGGGAAUGUGAGAGACACUAAGCUGCCACUUUCCCCUUGCAUCAACGUGAACUAAUGAUUCUUUUCACAUUCAUCCAGAUACUCUUUCAUGCCAAAUGGAUAGUGUGCAAAUAAGGUCUCCCUGAGUCAUCCACAUAUAAAAACAUACUUGGAACUCAAAGCCCAAGGAAUGCGCUGUCAACUUCCUAGAGAGCCCCAGCCAACCAGACGACUUGUGUUCAGGCUCCCCGAGGCCGAGGUUUCUACGCAGAUAGCAAUCAUGAGAAACGUGGGACCUGGCAUAAAAUCGGCACAAGCGGCAGAAUGUACGGUUUUUAGAACAUAAUGGUUAUUUGAUCUCUGUGCAAACCUCAGCAUAUUUCUUUCUCUCUCUCUCUCUUUUUUUAUCCUCUAGAAAGCUAUAAUUUGACUUUAAGAGCAGUAGUUAGGAGCAAAAUGCUAAUCAAGUCAGAAACCGGUGCAUUACAGCCUCUCACGAGUGAAGCAUUGUGUGGAGAGAAAACGGCUCCGCCCCGAAGACUUGAAGCACUCUGUCCAUCCCAGGCCUCCUCUUGCUGCCCCAGGGAUCUCCCUGGGUGGCUCCCCUUCUUGGCCAUGACCAGUCAGCGUCUUCUUCCAGAAAUCUUUUUUUUUUUUUCUGAGAUUACCCUCAAAGGGCUUUACUCCUGCCAUUUUUGAAGGCAGACACAAGUCUUUUCAUUUUAGAGGUUUCACUGGUCCAUGUUGGGAAAGUUAAAAAAGUUUAAGAACCUGCCCAAAUGCAUCUUAAACACGUGUCCCUAGGCUGCAGGGAAGUGCAGCUGAGGCUGGGCGGCCUCUCCCAGCGCCUAACUCUGGCUGUCACGCAGCGCUAGCCAGGGGGCUCCCCCUUCAGUCUCUGUCACCCUCGUGCCCCAGCUACAGCUCCUGGAGACUUCCUUUCCUGCCCCGACCCCGAGACUCUCUUCUUUGCUAUCAGGCUCUGAUAUCCUGAUGAUCUUAUUGGAGCAGAAUUUGGGCCCCCCUAGCCAUUCACCCAAAUGCCCAGAUGCAUUUGAAGCGGGCCAUUUAUAUCCCCAGAGAAGUGCUGUGUGUCUAUAACCUCCACACAGGACACGUCACUUUAGCUUAUUCCCUAACAAGUAUCACAGACAGAGGGGAUUAGGAAGUGUCCUUAGUUUUCAGAGACAAUCAGGAUCACGUGUGAAGUCACAGCUCCAAGUCCAGCUGGGGAAAUGCCAGUUGGAGAAGAGGCGCAAAGCAAAUUCAGAGGAUUACGAAAGGUCUGGAAAAUGAGACUAUAACAAGAGAGGUAGCAGAGUUCCUCAACAUGGGCACUGUUGACCGUGGGGGUGAUUCACUGUAGGAGGCUGUGUGUGCGUGUGUGUGCACGCACGCACCAUCUGUGCCCUGCAGCAGCACCCCUGGCCUCUCCCCACUGGAUGCCAGUUGCAUUUGCCCUCCAGUUGUGUCAACCAAAAAAGUCUGCAGACUUUGCCAAAUGUCCCGUCACCCGGCUGAGAUUGACUAGAUGAGAGGGGUUAAGGUAGUCCCCUCGGGGGAAGAGACAAAUUAGGGGUUUGGGAUUAACGUGUGCACACAGGAGAGAUAAACAAGGACCUAGUAUAGAGCACAAGGAACUAUAGUCAAUGUCCUGUGAUAGCCAGUAAUGGAGAAGACUCUGAAAAAGGCCCGAUAUAUGUGUGUAUGUACAGUUGGAUAUGUUGAGUCACUGCGCUGCGCAAUUGAAACCAACACAAGCUGUGAAUUAGCUGUAUGCUGUGCUCAGUCACUCAGUCGUGUCCAGCUCUUUGUAACCCCAUGGACUGUAGCCCACCAGCCUCCUCUGUCCAUGGGGACUCUCCAGGCAAGAGUACUGGAGUGGGUUGCCAUGCCAUCCUCCAGAGGAUCUUCCCAACCCAGGGACCAAACCCAGGUCUCCUGAAUUGCAGGCUGAUCCUUUACCAUCUGAGUCACAUACUUCCAUUUAAAAAAUGGUUUUAGGGCCUUCCCUGGAGGUCCAGUGGUUAAGACAUCGCCUUCUAAUGAAGGGGCUGCGAGUCUGAUCCCUGGUGGGGGAGCUGAGAUCCCAUAUGCCUUGUGGUCAAAAAAACCAAAACAUUAAACAGAAUCGAUAUUGUAACAAAUUCAAUAAAGACUUUAAAAAUAGCUCACAUCAAAAUACAAAUGUUUUUUUAAAAAAUCAUUAAAAAGAAAUAUUUAGCCCAAAGCGGAGCGUUUAAUUGUAGGUUCCAAAUACAUGAAGG
ensembl:lncRNA